ACCAGGCACAGUGGCAUGUGCCUAUAGUCCCAGCUACUUGGGAGGCUGAGGUAGGAGGAUCGCUUGAGCCCAGGAGUUCUGAGCUGUAGUGCACUAUGCCGAUUGGGUGUCUGCACUAAGUUCGGCAUCAAUAUUGUGACCUCCUGGGAGCAGGGGACCACCAGGUUGCCUAAGAAGGGGUGAACCAGCCUAGAUCGGAAACGGAGCAGGUCAAAACUCUCGUGUUGAUCAGUAGUGGGAUCGCAUUUGUGAAUAGCCACUACACUCCAGCCUGGGCAACAUAGCGAGACCCCAUCUCU
rnacentral:SRP_RNA from 1 species